GUCGAGAAUCUUCCCCAAUGGGCGAAAGCCUGAGGGAGCGACGCCGCGUGAGGGAUGAAGGCCCUUUGGGUUGUAAACCUCUGUUAGGGGGAAAGAAAAGCAGUGGAAGCAAUAUGUCCAUUGCCUGACGUUACCCCCAGAGAAAGCUCCGGCCAACUCCGUGCCAGCAGCCGCGGUAAUACGGGGGGAGCAAGCGUUGUCCGGAAUCAUUGGGCGUAAAGGGCGUGUAGGCGGCUUGGCAAGUCGAAUGUGAAAUCCCACGGCUCAACCGUGGAACUGCGUUCGAAACUGCCUUGCUUGAGUGCGGGAGAGGUGUGCGGAAUUCCUGGUGUAGCGGUGGAAUGCGUAGAUAUCAGGAAGAACACCGGUGGCGAAGGCGGCACACUGGCCCAGCACUGACGCUGAGGCGCGAAAGCGUGGGGAGCGAACGGGAUUAGAAACCCUUGUAGUCC
rnacentral:rRNA from 1 species